ensembl:lincRNA
AUUACAUUAAUGCAUAAUUUUGUUUUUUAUACUCAGAGCAUCAUUUUAGUUUGACACAGUCUUCAAUUAAGAUGGAACUAUUGGCCUUUUACAAUUCUCCAGUGACAACUUCUACUUUUUGAAAAUGAUGAGAAUAUGGUGCAGUUGUAUACAUUUUGAACAGGACAAAGGAGAGAAAGAACAUCUGCCCAGCUGGGUCAUAUGUGCGUUGACAGCGAGCGGCAGAACAAGGAGUACCAGGGGCUUAUGGACUUCACCUCACAGCUGGAGUAGGAGAUCUCUCUGUAUCGCAGCCAGCUAGAAGGCCAGGAAUAUUGCUACAACAACCUGCCCAACUCCAAGGUCCUCUGAGUGGCAGGCUCCUGGGUUUCUGCUCUCCUUCAGGGGGAGUCCCUAGGCUGGGGAAUAGGAAUCGAAGGACCCUUACCUCUGGCUCUUCACUGACCUGCCAAUAAAAUAAUAUGGCCCAAGGAAAAAAAUUAAAAUAAUAAAAAUAAUCAGAUAAUAAAAUGAAAUAAAAUACAAUAAACAUUUUAUUUUAAUAUCUACUUUUUUUAUUUUUCGACCCUGCUUCUUAUCUAGGGUCCAAUUUCAUUAAUAUCUUUGCAUGCUGAGCAUGUGUUCUGGAC